GGCCAGACUCCUACGGGAGGCAGCAGUGAGGAAUAUUGGUCAAUGGCCGGAAGGCUGAACCAGCCAAGUCGCGUGAGGGAAGACUGCCCUAUGGGUUGUAAACCUCUUUUGUCAGGGAGCAAUUGGCGCUACGUGUAGCGUUAUCGAGAGUACCUGAAGAAAAAGCAUCGGCUAACUCCGUGCCAGCAGCCGCGGUAAUACGGAGGAUGCGAGCGUUAUCCGGAUUUAUUGGGUUUAAAGGGUGCGUAGGCGGAAUGCCAAGUCAGCGGUAAAAUCGCGGGGCUCAACCUCGCUCCGCCGUUGAAACUGGCGUUCUUGAGUGGGCGAGAAGUAUGCGGAAUGCGUGGUGUAGCGGUGAAAUGCAUAGAUAUCACGCAGAACUCCGAUUGCGAAGGCAGCAUACCGGCGCCCAACUGACGCUGAAGCACGAAAGCGUGGGUAUCGAACAGGAUUAGAUACCCGAGUA
rnacentral:rRNA from 1 species